rnacentral:rRNA from 1 species
CGUGGGUAACCUGCCCAAGAGAUCGGGAUAACACCUGGAAACAGAUGCUAAUACCGGAUAACAACAGAUGAUGCCUAUCAACUGUUUAAAAGAUGGUUCUGCUAUCACUCUUGGAUGGACCUGCGGUGCAUUAGCUAGUUGGUAGGGUAACGGCCUACCAAGGCGAUGAUGCAUAGCCGAGUUGAGAGACUGAUCGGCCACAUUGGGACUGAGACGACGGCCCAAACUCCUACGGGAGGCAGCAGCC